AGUGAACGCUGGCGGUAGGCCUAACACAUGCAAGUCGAACGGCAGCACAGUAAGAGCUUGCUCUUACGGGUGGCGAGUGGCGGACGGGUGAGGAAUACAUCGGAAUCUACUUUUUCGUGGGGGAUAAUGUAGGGAAACUUACGCUAAUACCGCAUACGACCUACGGGUGAAAGCAGGGGAUCUUCGGACCUUGCGCGAUUGAAUGAGCCGAUGUCGGAUUAGCUAGUUGGCGGGGUAAAGGCCCACCAAGGCGACGAUCCGUAGCUGGUCUGAGAGGAUGAUCAGCCACACUGGAACUGAGACACGGUCCAGACUCCUACGGGAGGCAGCAGUGGGGAAUAUUGGACAAUGGGCGCAAGCCUGAUCCAGCCAUACCGCGUGGGUGAAGAAGGCCUUCGGGUUGUAAAGCCCUUUUGUUGGGAAAGAAAAGCAGCAGGUUAAUACCCCGCUGUUCUGACGGUACCCAAAGAAUAAGCACUGGCUAACUUCGUG
rnacentral:rRNA from 1 species